UGCGCGCGGGGACAGCCGGGCGCCCAGCACCUCCUGGAACCACAAAGGCGCUCAAGUCCGCCCUCUGAGAGCGACGUCCGCUACAACCGUCUGGCCGCACACACAACGCCCACUGCUGGCCCGCGGGUCUUCACCCGGGUCCACGCACGCACGCGCGCGUCUGCCGCACCUGCACGUGCAACCAACACCUGUGGGCGCCACCUGAACACGGCCCUGCGCUCCGAACUUUAAACCCCCGGCCCCAUCUCCACCUGCAGCCGCACUGGGCUGUGGGCUUCAACACCCGGAUUUUGGAAGGACGGAAACACUCAGUCCUUACAGUGCGCCACCACUACUUGAACUUGAGAUGGUGUUUGGAUUUCACCAGCUUCCCACUGGCGCCCCUCUCGGCCCCAAGAUGCAAGCAGGACAUCGCGCUGGAUUUAUUUGAAAGGCCAAGAAAGAGACUGACAGAGAUCUUCUAUCCACUGAUUCACUCUCCAAAUGCCUGCCACAGUUGCGGCUCGGGCCAGGCUGAAACCAAGAGCCGGGAACUCCAACCGUGUCUCCCAGGUGGUGGGGCACAGCACCAAGACAGGACAAACCCGGAUCCAGGAUUCCGGGGCACCUGAGCCGCGAGCUGAGCGCUGUUCUGUAUCCUCGGAAGGAAGUCUCUCCGAGACCAUCAGGGAGUCUGCUGGUCCCUACUCGCGUUGCUCGAAGACCCGCCGUGCGCAGAGCACGGUCCCCUUCAACAAAAUCCUCCGUGAAGUCACUUCCCCAGGUGCUUCUCCUGGUCUCCCACGCGGGUGCAGGGACCCAAGGACGUGGGCCAUCCUCCACUGCCUUCCCGGGCCACAGCAGAGAGCUGGUUCGGAAGUGGAGCAGCCGGGACUAGAACCGGCGUCCAGAUGGGAUGCCGGCGCUGCAGGCGGUGGCUUCAUCUGCCGUCGCUGCCUGACGACUUCCUGCGGGGAGGACUCACUGCCGCUGUACUGUGCCCUUGGAGUCCCUUCCUUCCGGCCCGCCCACGUCGGUGCAGGGGUCUAAGGCCUCGGGCCGUCCUCUGUGCCUCCCCAGGCAGGUGGAUUAGCAGAGAGUUGGAUUGGAAGCGCAAGAGCGGGGCUUGAACUAGCGCCCCUGCGGGCCGGCGGCGGCCUAAGUGGGGCGUAACCCGCCGCGCCGCAGCGCCGGCCCCUCGGUGGCUGUUUGCUUUUCUCAUUUGCUCCAUCUCCGACCUCUGAUAGGUCAGGCUGCUCUCCUACUGCUGACGGCGCUCAAAUCAUCAGUCGCCUCCUCUCGGGAGACCCGCAGGGGUCAGCCCACGGGCGCGGGGAGGGUGCGGGUCAGCACGGGUCCAGCAGGGGGCGAGCCCGAGGCCGCUGGAGCAGCCGCGGCGAGGACGGCCCCGCCCGGGCCGCUCUGGGUGCGCCGGCUGCUCGCGGCUCUUUGUCUUCCGCGGUCGCUUGCGCUCGGUCCUCGGGACCCGGCUUCGGAGAAUCCGAGCUUUCUCCCGGGGAGACCGGCUCCAGCCCCUUCAAGCCGGGGUCGCGGGGCGCGGCCGGAGCUGUCGUUCGUCUCCACCAAUGCCGCGGGACGCGCGGGCGGGGCAAGGGCCGGGCUUCCCACCUGCUCGGCUGGCCACUGCCUGCCCCUGGGCCUUGUCCGCCGGCCACACACACACCUGCUCUGAGCGACUCCUGUAGGCUCCGAUCCGCCCCAGGCACAGGGAGGUGAAGUCACUCCCCCCAGGUCACACAGCUCGCAGGUGGAGCCCGGGCCUGACCGACCCUGUGCAGGAGCCACUCCCAAAGCCCCCUUCCCACCCUCCGUGCCCAGAAGGGACCACCCCGUGCCAGGGGACACGUGUGUCACACGUGUCUGCCCACAGGUGAAUGCGCAGUUCCGGCUUCUCAGCAGGUGUAUCUCAUUACCUUCAGUUGCACGCCAGGGCGAUUUUUAAAGAGCCUGCGUGGGAGCGGGCGUUGUCCGAGACCCGCCGUGUUGGAGGGCCUGGGUGCAACGCCGGCUUCCUGGGUAUGCACACCCUGGGAGACAACAGCGGAGGGCUCAAGGGCUUGGGUCCCUGCCACCCACACAGGAGACCUCGAUGGAGUCUCCAGCUCCUGGCUGUGGCCCAGCACUGGCUGUUGCUGGCGUUUGGGGGGUGACCCAAUGGAUGGAAAAUCUCACUCCCUUUCAAAUAACAAUAAUAAUAAAGUAAAUAUUA